rnacentral:rRNA from 1 species
GACGAACGCUGGCGGCGUGCUUAACACAUGCAAGUCGAGCGGAGCGGCGAACGGGUGAGUAACGCGUGAGUAACUGACCCCCUCUCUGGGAUAACAGUUGGAAACGGCUGAUAAUACCGGAGAGGGGGGGUUGACUCGCGUCCUAUCGGCUUGUUGAGGGGGUAGUGGCCUACCAAGGCGACGACGUGUAGCCGGCCUGAGAGUGCGACCUGCCUCAUUGGGAUGCGAUACUGCCCAAACUCCUACGGGAUGCAGCAGGGGGGACUCUUGCACAAUGGGUGAAACCCUGAUGCAGCAUCGCCGCGUGCGGGAGGACGGCCUUCUGGUUGUAAACCGCUUUCAGCCAUGACGCGUUAGUGGCAGAAGAAGCACCGGCUAACUACGUGCCAGCAGCCGCGGUAAUAC